rnacentral:rRNA from 1 species
AAGACCUUGUGCUUUUGGAGCGGCCGAUGCCUGAUUAGCUUGUUGGUAAGGUAAAAGCUUACCAAGGCUUCGAUCAGUAGCUGGUCUGAGAGGACGACCAGCCACACUGGGACUGAGACACGGCCCAGACUCCUACGGGAGGCAGCAGUGGGGAAUUUUGGACAAUGGGGGCAACCCUGAUCCASCCAUGCCGCGUGAGUGAAGAAGGCCUUCGGGUUGUAAAGCUYUUUCAGCCGGAACGAAACGGUUACGGAUAAUACCCGUGACUACUGACGGUACCGGAAGAAGAAGCACCGGCUAACUACGUGCCAGCAGCCGCGGUAAUACGUAGGGUGCGAGCGUUAAUCGGAAUUACUGGGCGUAAAGGGUGCGCAGGCGGUUUUGUAAGUCAGAUGUGAAAUCCCCGGGCUUAACCUGGGAACU